GGCCCGUCGUCUAGCGGCCUAGGAUGACCAACGCUCCUUCGGGAGAUUGGUAGGCGUGGGUUCGAAUCCCGCCGGCGUCACCA
rnacentral:tRNA from 1 species